UGAAAUCCCGCCUCCUUAGCGGACCUUUGCAUUGGUCAUGGUUUUAAACAGAAUGAUGUCAAACACAGCGAUGUAUAUAAUCCAUAGCAUUAACCUCUGUAUUUAAUUUCUGACGUACUAUUAAAGGACAGUAGCCUAAUGAACUUGACUUGAGCGCUUAGGAGAGACUAUAGAUGUUAAACUACAUUUCCCGGCAGACUUUUCGCUAUUUUUAGUCGCAUAGACUUGCGUCACAAUCACUGACUAGUAGGUGUCCAGCCAGCUGGUUGUAGCGCGCCGCUUUUAAGGUUGGAAAUGCAUUCAAACGAUUUUGCAGGCCUACACACUGUCCAGGUCCUCUCUGUGAGAUAUAAAGUCAGUCGGCAUAAUGGAGAGGCUGGAGAGGAACCAUACGUCAGCCAACCACACACCCAUCAUCAGAGCACCUAGGACACACAUCUGGCUCAGAAGCUGAAUCAAAGGCCAAAGUGAGAGGGACAAGGAGGUGCUAUUGACAAGGUGGUUAGCAGGUUGCUCUGCUGAGAUGAAGAGAGGGCUGCCAUUCAUGCCAGGACAUAGUGAAACAGACUACAGAACACCAGUGGGAUGGGGAGACAAAGAGAAUGACAAGAUUCACUGACAAGUGCAGACUGUUCCUCCAGAGAGAAUAAAGCAGAAACACGGUCUAACGUCUUUGGACACUGGGACAGAUUUAUACACUGCACUGUAGAUUCAUUCUCUCACAUCAAUGCUCCGUCCACAGCAUCAGCAAGAAUGCAUGUAAUGCAACCUCCCCUCUGCUUACACUGGUGGCAAGUGAACGCUGCUUGGUUCACAGAUUUUAAAAGACAUAUUUUCUAGUAAGACAAUCUUGGAAAAAGAAACAGCUGCAAGUAACAAAAGCCUUAGCCCAAGCAGACAUAAUUGUCAUGGAAACUUGAUUUAUGAUGUCAAGGGCAUGACACUUGAAGACAAAG